rnacentral:rRNA from 1 species
UACGUAGGGGCCAAGCGUUGUCCGGAUUUAUUGGGCGUAAAGCGCACGUAGGCGGAUUUGUAAGUCAGGGGUGAAAUCCCGGGGCUCAACCUCGGAACUGCCUUUGAUACUGCAAAUCUCGAGUCCGGAAGAGGUGAGUGGAAUUCCUAGUGUAGAGGUGAAAUUCGUAGAUAUUAGGAAGAACACCAGUGGCGAAGGCGGCUCACUGGUCCGGUACUGACGCUGAGGUGCGAAAGCGUGGGGAGCAAACAGG